rfam:Schistosoma haematobium scaffold678_5, whole genome shotgun sequence.
AUCCAGGUGACGAGUCUCAACUAAGACGAAACGCGCAUCCUGAAU